rnacentral:rRNA from 1 species
UACGUAGGGAGCAAGCGUUGUCCGGAAUCAUUGGGCGUAAAGCGCGCGUAGGCGGCCCCGUAAGUCCGCUGUGAAAGUCAAAGGCUCAACCUUUGAAAGCCGGUGGAUACUGUGGGGCUAGAGUACGGAAGAGGCGAGUGGAAUUCCUGGUGUAGCGGUGGAAUGCGCAGAUAUCAGGAGGAACACCAAUAGCGAAGGCAGCUCGCUGGGACGUUACUGACGCUGAGGCGCGAAAGCGUGGGGAGCAAACGGG